GGGAUCCCUGGGUGGCGCAGCGGUUUGGCGCCUGCCUUUGGCCCAGGGCGUGAUCCUGGAGACCUGGGAUCAAAUCCCACGUCGGGCUCCCGGUGCAUGGAGCCUGCUUCUCCCUCUGCCUGUGUCUCUGCCUCUCUCUCUCUCUUUGUGUAACUAUCAUAAAUAAAUUUUAAAAAUUAAAAAAAAAAAGAAUUUUUGUUUCCUUAUUGGAAAAAAUAUUAUGGCCACCUAUCUUUGAUGGUUUCCAUUUAAUCAAAAUGCUUUAAAGCAUCUCCCAGGCAAGAAAUAUCUGUACUUUAAAGCACUAAGGGCAGACAAAUGCAAUUGCUUCCAGAAAAAUCAUAGAGAUCAUCUUCCUAAUGGAUAAACUUCUGACAACUGAAAAGAAAGGACUUCGGUCUUUGACUUUUUCUGUCAAACAGAAAACCAACAAAAAGGGACAUUUGUUAGCAUAAACUUUUCAAAGACCCCACUUUUAGUUUAUACCUCAGAGAUACUCAUCCUUCUUCUGCCUUCUCCCUCAGAUUCAUAUGGUUUUAUUAAAUCUGACUGUGGAGAUGCUUCUACGUUAGGUCAGUUUGGCUGUGGACUGAAUUUUGAAAGCACAUUUUAAUUUCAGCAUUUAUGCAGCCGAGCGCUGCUAAAUUGAAUAGGCUGUGGUUAUGGGAACUGCAGGAACUGAAAUGGAACCAAGAAAUCUGUUACUGGAGAAACCUUUUGAGAACAGACAGAUUUUAAGUCACUCUUAAUAAGGUCUGAUAGGUUAUGGAAUAACAUGUUCUGGGAUUCCGGAAAGCAGCUUUUCACCCUUCCUUGCCAUUUGGGAAUUAUUUUCAUCCUCAUGAUGCUGCAAACCUAUCAAGAAAACGGAAUUGAAACGGGUCUCCGUGAGCUGUGUAGCAUAAAUCCAAAACUUCUGCAACAAUAAAAUUCUCUUGCCAAGUGGAUAGGUAGGGCUGUGUUGCUAGCAUGCUGCUCUAAGAGCAUCAAGUAUCAUUCUAUUUGCAGAGAACAAAGAAUAAUCCUUUAGGCUUCUGUAUGGUCUGCUUUGAAAAAAAAAAGAUGGUUGAGAAAUUUUAGCUCUGAACUCUUCUUGAUCGAUGUUGAACCUUAAUGUAGUAGAAAGUUAAUUAUUUCCUGAAUUCUUCCAUGGAUGAUGAGUUCUAGGAGAAGAUAGUAGUUAUUAUGUAGAAGAAAAAAACACUUCAGGAUCAAAUAAGCCUUGAGAACCCUGCAGUAAACUAAGUUCUGUAAUUUGUUGUUGUUGUUUGUUUUUUAUUGCAGAGCUCCUGUGAGCCUCGAGUUGUGAAUUUCCAGGAAGAGAAUAGAGAUAUAAGAUCUAAAAUGUUUAGUGUUCUUUCUUUGCAAGAAAUCUUUUCAGGGACAGGCAAAGCUGCAUUAAGACUGUUGUGGUCGCCUCCUUCAAAAACAAAUAUUAAAGAUUAUAACUGUGCUAGUAUAAGGAUGAAUAUAUUAAUAUUAUAUAACAAAGCUGCCUAAAAGUUUUUCUGGCCUAAAAGUCAGGGGGGUUUUUUUGCUUCUGAUUUUAAAAGAAAUUAAGGGAUCCCUGGGUGGCGCAGCGGUUUGGCGCCUGCCUUUGGCCCAGGGCGCGAUCCUGGAGACCCGGGAUCGAAUCCCACGUCGGGCUCCCGGUGCAUGGAGCCUGCUUCUCCCUCUGCCUAUGUCUCUGCCUCUCUCUCUCUCUCUCUCUCUGUGUGACUAUCAUAAAUAAAUAAAAAAAAUAAAAAUAAAAAUAAAAUGUUAGAUAUUCAUCUGAAAAAUUGGGGGUAUUGUAUAUCAAACUAUAAUAGUGAUAGUCUCUCCAUCAUAAAUACCUAUAAUACUUGAACCUUUUAUAUUAAGCAUUUAUUCUUGUAU
rnacentral:lncRNA from 1 species